rnacentral:lncRNA from 1 species
CGUAAUCGUAAUCGUAAUCGUAAUCCGAUUCGAAUCCAUCGGAACUACUACUACUGCUGCUACUACUGCUACUACUGCUACUACUGCUACUACUGCUACUACUGCGACUACUGCCUGCUGCCUGCUGCUGCUGCUGCUGCUGCUGCUGCUGCUGCUGCUGCUCCUGCUCCUGCUGCUCCUGCUCCUGCUGCUGCUCCUGCUGCUCCUGCUCCUCCUGCUGCUCCUGCUGCUCCUGCUGCCCCUGCUGCCCCUGCUGCCCCUGCUGCUGCUGCUGCUGCUCCUGCUCCUGCUGCUGCUGCUGCUGCUCCUGCUCCUGCUGCUGCUGCUGCUCCUGCUCCUGCUGCUGCUCCUGCUCCUGCUCCUGCUACUGCUACUGCUACUGCUACUGCUACUGCUACUGCUACUGCUACUGCUAC